ACAUCAUCCUGCCGAGGUUUGGCGAUCGAAGGGUGUGUGUUAGGGGUAUAUCAAAAUCCCUAAAACUUUAAUAUUCAGGGACAGCAGAGAUUAAAUUUUCGUCAAAUUUUGGAAAUCAUUUAAAUGUACGACCUGAAGUUGCUGGAAUAUUAAUUUGCCAACAAUCAGUUAGAGAAAAAAUGUUAUCAUUAUAUAUGUAACGUUGGGAUUUAAAGCGAAACUAUUGCGGAGGAUUUAUUUUAAGUAACAGCGUGAAUUCCACGCCAGGCUUGGCGCGCUUCUACAGGUAUUAGACUCAUACCUGUGACAGGUAGGUGCCCAGUGUUCAGGUGAUGGUGUGCCUGGGACGGCGGCCGGUGAGUACCAUUAUUUACAGCUCAUACCACGUGUACCCAUCGUAAGGUUAGAAGUGUCACUGUGCUUUUAUACAACCAUAUUCAGUGCUUUUACAACCACAUUCAGUAAUAAUUUUUCAUUUUUGUUUUCUGAAAUUUAUAUAUGUUUUAUUCAUCGAAACAUUUUUAUAUCCAUGAUGAAGAAUACAUCUAGUUAUAGUACACGAUAUUUGCUUCAUGCAGGUACUUGUUAUUGGGGGAGAAGGUAAAAUGAAAAAGGUCCCAACUUUUUUUUUUCAAUCUGCUCUUUCACACUUUUAUGUGAAGUUUCAACAAAUGAACACAGUCUUAAUCCGAAAUUCAUAAAGCAAAUAUAAUGAAAUGUAUGAUUAGAUAUUUGUCCAACUGAAAGUGACUUUGACAAGAUUUAAGCGGAAGCAAUGAAUGUUUUGAGUUAUCUCCCUUACACCGAUUAAUCUCGAGUUAUACGCAGCCAUUAACAUAGUAGAAACCAUUUCCCUCGAUCGUAUUAAAAACAAGAAAUCAGUUUCCUCAUGUCAACCCCCCCCCCCCCC
rnacentral:sRNA from 1 species